rnacentral:rRNA from 1 species
GAUGAACGCUGGCGGCGUGCCUAAUACAUGCAAGUCGAGCGAACGGACGAGAAGCUUGCUUCUCUGAUGUUAGCGGCGGACGGGUGAGUAACACGUGGAUAACCUACCUAUAAGACUGGGAUAACUUCGGGAAACCGGAGCUAAUACCGGAUAAUAUUUUGAACCGCAUGGUUCAAAAGUGAAAGACGGUCUUGCUGUCACUUAUAGAUGGAUCCGCGCUGCAUUAGCUAGUUGGUAAGGUAACGGCUUACCAAGGCAACGAUGCAUAGCCGACCUGAGAGGGUGCUCGGCCACACUGGAACUGAGACACGGUCCAGACUCCUACGGGAGGCAGCAGUAGGGAAUCUUCCGCAAUGGGCGAAAGCCUGACGGAGCAACGCCGCGUGAGUGAUGAAGGUCUUCGGAUCGUAAAACUCUGUUAUUAGGGAAGAACAUAUGUGUAAGUAACUGUGCACAUCUUGACGGUACCUAAUCAGAAAGCCACGGCUAACUACGUG